GGGUUGCUGAUGUGGGUGUGAUACUGUCCAGAUACCCCAGGGACAUCUACAGCUCCUUUGGCUUCCCUGGAAGGGUAAAGAACAUCGACGCUGCCAUUCAUGAGGAGGAAACUGCAAAGACGUAUUUCUUUGUCCCCAGUAUGAUGAAAACACGCAGUCCACAGAUGCAGGUUAUUCCAAAGAGAUAAUUCAUGACUUCCCUGGAAUUGGCAAAAAAGUUGAUGUUGUUUUCCAAGAUAGAGGAUUUUUCCAUUUCUUUCAUGGAAAAGGGCACUACAAAUCUGAUCCUAAAACUAAGCAAAUUUUGGCCUCCCGAAUACUAACAGCAGGUUCAAGUGCAGAAAUAACUGAUGGUUGACUCUCACAAAGGAGUUGGAGAAAACAUUUCUACUCAGCCCAAA